UUGUAGAGCAGCAGGAGAGAGCGGUUUCAUCAUGGUAGCACAUUCAGAGGUCGAUUUAUAGCCAUUCAUCUGAAAUCAUUCAUUGAUGUGAAACAAAAACACUUUCUGUUAGCCAUAAACGGACAAGAUUAUGAGACUGAAGCUAUGAUUCAACGAUGGAUGCGACUUGUUCCUGCCUGGUGUGCCAACGGCCAUGACGUCAGCUUAUUAAGGUCCGUCAUGGGGUACCAGGCCUAAUUAUCCAGUGAUACUGACAUCCAUAGGUUUGAUUUACAUAUCGCUAGUUCUGUUCCUUUAAACUCUUGUUCUUUGACGUCACGUUCUCUCUGAUGUUCUGUUACAUCGCCCAAAAGCACUGAUUUUUUUCUCUCUAAGGCAAGGAGUACUAUCAGUUGCAUAACAGUGUUCUGUACAUCUAGAACACCAUAUUACAUUGCCACUUUUCACCAAUGUUGUCUCUAAACUGGGCGCGUGCAGUAGCUCCGAGACUACCAAGCUGCUCCUUCGGGACUGCCGAGCAGAAAUAUAAACUCACAGAGAGAAGCACAAGAUUGGACUUCAAUCAACUUUCUAGAGCAGUAGUCACCAACCGGUCGAUCGCGCUCACUGGUCGAUCUACAAGGCCUUCCUAGUCGAUCGCCAAAUAUUUAUGUAAAAAACCCAACGAUAAAGCCUUCUGUUCCUAAUUUCUUGUUAUUCGUCUCUGGCUGUUGGCUGUAUGUGGACCCAAUCCAGCUGCCCUGUGCGUCAGAUAGGCGAACUGUUGCCAUUUUGAACAAUUGUAUGUGUCUGAAGGUACAAACUUCUGUCUACCCGGGCGGGCCCAGAGAGCAAAUCAACUGCACAAAAGGUCUACUGCUGGCAGAACGGAUGACUCAGAUGGCGGUGUCUGCAGUAAUGUAGCACGGCAUAAAAGAUAGCUACAACAAAGUUGAUACUGUGAGAUUUCAGAACGUUUAAAACAAUGACAAGAUAGAGACUG